AUGGACAAAUUCAAAGGCGGUUUUGGUAUUCCCAUGAA
rnacentral:sRNA from 17 species